rnacentral:lncRNA from 1 species
AGUCUCUCUAUCCAUUUUUUUUUUUCUUUUUCUUGAGAGGUGUAACAAUCGAGACAAAUUGAUAAGAAAAUGAAGAAACAAACGAGCUGAAGACAGUUACAGGAGAGAGCAGAGCCAAACACUCUCAGGAUCUCAUGAGCAGAUGCACUGCUACACUGCUUUAAGACACUUUUAUCUUCUCUAGUCUCUCAUCAUGUUGUGGGGCAGUUUACUUCUGUUGAAGACAUUAGCAACUGAACAGCAGAGGUUUUUUUUUCUUUUUUCUUGUAGAGGUGUAACAAUCGAGACAAUUGAUAGAAAUGAAGACAAACGAGCUGAAGACAGUUACAGGAGAGAGCAGAGCCAAACACUCUCAGGAUCUCAUGAGCAGAUGCACUGCUACACUGCUUUAAGACACUUUUAUCUUCUCUAGUCUCUCAUCAUGUUGUGGGGCAGUUUACUUCUGUUGAAGACAUUAGCACUGAACAGCAGAGGAAGCUGUGGCUAACUGGAGCUAAAAGCUGUCAAGUUAACAUGUGACAUGAGCAAAAAGAAAAAAAAAAGAAGCUAGAUGUUCACACGUAUCAACACUAAUAGAUGUGCAGAUAUUUUAGCUGACAGUAGAGUUUCUCAUGACUGUACAGUUCAGCCUCUCAUCAGCUCAUCUGUCAUUUUAAUCCUGGACCUGUUUUGAAGAGUUUGUCUUCUCUUAUUUGUGGACUGAAACCGUUGAAGAUGUUUGACAGAUUUUGGUUCUGUUUGUGUUUGUGGCGUCUGGUAGCUGCUACAUCACCAGACCCACAGACUCCUCCACAAUCUCAUUCAGGUUCUCUUUCACUUCCUAUAGUCAUUGUAUUUCUGAUAGUGCUGAUCUCUGCUGCUGCUGCUGGAUCUCUGGUGAUUGUGGUUGUAAUUGUGAUGUAUUGUAUCAAGAGGAAACACAGACACUCAGGUCAAGUGAAUCCACAGCUCACACAUCUGUAA